rnacentral:rRNA from 1 species
UACGAAGGGGGCUAGCGUUGUUCGGAAUUACUGGGCGUAAAGCGCACGCAGGCGGUCUGUCAAGUCGGAUGUGAAAUCCCCGGGCUCAACCUGGGAACUGCAUUCGAAACUGGCAGGCUAGAGUCUUGUAGAGGGGGGUAGAAUUCCAGGUGUAGCGGUGAAAUGCGUAGAGAUCUGGAGGAAUACCGGUGGCGAAGGCGGCCCCCUGGACAAAGACUGACGCUCAGGUGCGAAAGCGUGGGGAGCAAACAGG